GCACUCUGUUUUUCUCUUCAAUUUGUAUAAAUCUUUUACCUUUUACUAAAGAUUUCUGUAGAGAGGAACAUUUAUGAGUUUGUACCCAAUUUUUUGAGGCUUUGUUUUGGUGAGGCU
ensembl:snRNA U5 U5 spliceosomal RNA